CUCUCCAGAUUACUGAACCUCUCUCUGACCUCUGACCUCGUCCCGGAGCAGGAUGUGAUCGACGUCAUCAUCCACGUGGGUAGAAACCCGCAGGGUCGAAACCUCGCCUGGAAGUAUUUCAGAGAAAAGUGGGACAUCCUCAACGCACGUUACGGUGAAGCGUUGUUCAUGAACUCGAAGCUCAUCGGUGGAGUCACAGAGUUCCUGAACACCGAGAAAGAACUCAAUGAGUUAAAGGAGUUCAUCCAGGCCAAUGACCUGGGGGCGGGGCCUGCGAUGCCUCGUUCUCUGGAGAUCGUGGAGGGAAACGUCCGCUGGCACCGCCUCCACAGACGGCACUUCUUCCAGUGGCUUCGCAAAUCUCCCAACUCUAACCUCGGCUAACGCUUCACCGGAUAGCUAGAGUGAAGCGACUGCUAGCUUCCUGUUGGCACACUGCUAGCUUACAGACGAGGCAGUCGGAUAGAAAAACUGGACGAAGAGACGAAGAGAGACAUGGACUUGACUGGCUGUUCUGUUUUUAAGAAACUGGUUUGCAAAGGUUUUAUUUCAGAUGUCAUUUUUCAAAGCUGCUAGCUAGUUAGCAGUCACUGAUUCAGUCAUGGCUAGCUAUCAAAUUAGCCUUCAAACCCCCCAAGGACAAAGAGAGAGGAAUCUGCUGUCAGACUAACAACAACAACGUCCUGAAUUUAAACCAAAACCAGCCGUUUAACAAACUUUUAAUAUUACAAAUCAAACAUUGCAGUAUGUAUACCCUACGUUUAAAUAUAAACACGUUUGAAAGACCCUAAAUUGCCAAUACACAACAAAUACGAUAAGAAAACUUUUUUAAAUUGGCCAAACUGGAUAGGAAUAGUUGAUAACAAUGGAUGAAGUUAGAUGUUUUAGGUGAACCAACGUUGACAGAGUCCUGAAAUCAGCCCAACUCUUCCCUCGGCUAACGCUUCACCUGCUAGCUAGAGUGAAGUGACUGCUAACUUCCUGUUAGCACACAACUAGCUUACAGACGAGGCGGUCGGAUAGAAAAACUGGACGAACAGACAUCAACUUGACUGGUUGUUCAGCUGGUUUUGUUUUAAAGAAACGUUUUAUUUCAGAUGUCAUUUUUCAAAGCUGCUAGCUAGUUAGCAGUCACUGAUUCAGUCAUUGCUAGCUAUCAAAUUAGCCUUCAAACCCCCCAAGACUUAAGUGGGACAAAGAGAGAGGAAUCUGCUGUCAGACUAACAACUGAAAGUCCUGAAUUUAAAACAAAACUGACUAUUUGACGAACAGUUUAACAGACUUUCAAUAUUACAAAUCAAAUAGGUCCGUAUAUGAACCCUACGCUGAAAUAUAACACAUUUUAAUGACCCUCACACAACAAACUUUGAAUGCAAAACCCAAAAUUGCCAUUACAUAACAAAUAUGAUAAGAAAACUCUUCAAAGUUUGCCAAACUGGAUAGCAGUAGUUGACUUAAAAUUAGGGUUAAUAUUGACUUAAAACGCAAACCAUCUUGACAUACAUGAAGGUUAGAAGUAUGUAAUGCAAACUUACAUGAAGUUAGAUUAUUUUUUUAGGUGAAACCAAUGUUGAAAUUGUCCUGAAAUCAGCCCAAAUAGACCAGGGAAACGAUGUUUUGUUCUUAACCCCCCCCCCCCCCCACCUUAUCACCUGAAUCUCCUCCUAGAGCACCAUUGUGUUCUUUGUAACCAAAUCUCUCU